GACGAACGCUGGCGGCGUGCUUAACACAUGCAAGUCGAGCGGAGCGGCGAACGGGUGAGUAACGCGUGAGUAACUGCCCCCCUCUCUGUGAUAACAGUUGGAAACGGCUGCUAAUACCGGAUAGUGGGGGAUGACUCGCGUCCUAUCAGCUUGUUGGUGGGGUAGUGGCCUACGAAGGCGACGAAGGGUAGCCGGCCUGAGAGGGCGACCGGCCGCACUGGGCUGCGGGACGAGCCAAGCCACUACUGGGUGCAGCAGUGGGGAAUAUUGCGCAAUGGGGCAAAGCCUUAUGCAUCUCCGCCGCGUGAUGGAUGACGGCCCUGGGGUUGUAAACCGCUUUAAGCCAUGACGCUGUAGUGGCAGAAGAAGCACCGGCUAACGACGUGCCAGCAGCCGCGGUAAUAC
rnacentral:rRNA from 1 species